CUUUGCACAAGAUGAAUUUUGUUCUGAAAGAGUGAAGGUGUUGAUAAAACUUUGUAUAUAUAGAUGGCAAAAAGCAUCUGUUGAACCUAAAUUAUGACUAAAAUUAUUAUUAUAGGCAUAUAAAAUAAUAUCUUAUGUUUGAUGUAAUACACAAUAGUCUCUAGAGCUUUUGUUUUAUCCCCUUUUGACUUCAUCACAAAAUAAAUGUGUGAUUUGACCUACUUGGUGGUAGAAGUAUUCACCUGGAGCUCAUCCAACUGAGAACUUGGCUCUAAAUGAAGUGCAACUCCUCACUAUCAGUCUUCAUUGCUAAUUGCCAUGCUUAUUCACAUGUGUAGAUUAUUCAUCAUAUGCUCUAUGAGUCAUAUUCGGCGUCAAGAGCAUAUGGCACAUCAGUAUCACUUCCUGUUUGUUAUCUAUAAUGCAAUUAAUUUGAGUAGGUGCGGCUAUAAGACUGUUGACUGUUCACUUUAACUGUGUAUCGCAGUUUUAUCCACGUUACUUUUGUUGGACCUUGUUUAAUAAUUGAGAAGAUGCCAAAGACACGAGCUAAGACAAGAAAAGUUGACAGGAGGACCCUAAGGAAAGAAAGAUUUCAUCAUUUGGGAAAGAAAAGUUGGGAAAAGAGAAGAGAAAAGAAAUUAAAAGAUUGUGAUUCCUGUGUCACUGUUUCUAGAGUCGAUGUACCAUUGCCUGUUGUGCAUGUAAGUUCUUCUUCAAUAAUUUUUAGUGAGUUCCUAUUUAAAAUUCAUUUAAAGUACAUUAAUUAAGCAGAAAUUGCAUGCAUUUUGACUCAAAACUAGUUACUUCUGUUGUGCCUAUUUGGGCAAUCUCCUGCCUAAUAGGUAAUGUUUUAAGGAGUGUCUGACUUUUGAUACCACCAUGAUUAAGUUUACUUUUGAUACCACCAUGAUUAAGUUUACUUUUGAUACCACCAUGAUUUUACCGCCAUCAUUUCAAAAAUAGUGUUCAAAUGCACUAUUUCCUUCCUACAUAAUGGUCCUACUUUACUUUUAGAGAUUUCCUACUUUUAGAGAUUUUGAGUAUUGUUAAUAAAAUUUUUCUUGAAGUGUGCAAAAAAACUUCAAAAGUGAUUGAUCCAGUGUAAUUAAGAAUCAUCCAGUGUAAAAAA
rnacentral:lncRNA from 1 species